rfam:TPA: Bos taurus chromosome 20, whole genome shotgun sequence.
UAGCUCAGUUGGUAAAGAAUCUGCCUGCAAUGCAGGAGACCCAGGUUCGAUUCCUGG